AUGGGCACCCACCGUCCUGGGACACCAGCUCCCCUCCCGCACCUGCCGUUCACCCAUGGGUCUUUCCUGCGUCACAGACCUUCCCUCCCUGAGUCCUUCAAGAUUUGUCUAGAUGACAAUGUCCCAGCGCCCCUCAUCCUUGGGGGACAGCUGUUUCCUAGGGGCCCAGCCCCAGACGGUCGGGGUGUCCUCGCCGGGUUGUGGCCAUGCCGCGUGGCUGGUCCCUAUGUCCACUCUGCUGGGAUGUCCAUGUUGUCCCCCAGCAACAGGGAAGGCCAGGCGGUCUGUCCCCCCAAGCAUGUCUCCCUGUCUCCCACGCUCGCCCUGUCCCCCCUGCCGGGCCGUGGUCUGUCCGGAGCCCAGAACCUCUGCCUGUCCUCAGACCCCGCUCUCGGGCCGCUCUGUGCUCUGCUUCCCUCCGUUUGUCCCUCUGCUACUUCCUUCUUGCUGAACCUGUCCUCAAGGCGCCUAUGGCUCCACAUGUUGUACGUGAGCCCCGUGAGCCCUGUGGGCACCAUCCCUCUUGCCCCCCCACCCCGGGUGCAGGAAACAGUGUGCGCUAGGUUACCCAAUGCGCAGUUGUGCCUGUGCGGUUGGUUGUUGGACAGCUCCCGCGUGCCCUCACUACGGAGUGCCUGGAGGUGUUUGGGGCAUGGCGGGAAUCCUGAAGCCCAGGAUGUCGGUGGCCCCUUCCUGGGGGAACUGGCGCUUGUGCCAUUUGCGUCUGCAGGAGCCAGUGUCUCCACGGACAUGAGGCGGGUCUUCCCAGGGCCCCAUAGUCACACAGAGGAGCAGAUACAGGGCCCAGAGACACCAGAUACAGUAACUGGUGAAAGCCAGAGCGAAGGGUCUGGAUUCAAGUCCAGAAGCUGCCAGCAGCCUCAGCAAGUGCUCACGGGAUGUGCCUCGCUCGCACCUGUUCUGAAAGUCAUUGUGGCCGCCGCCGGGAGAAGGUGGCUGGCAGGACAGGAAGCCACAGCCAGGAAAAGACACAAGGACACCUGGACCCACGCCCCCCGUCUUUCUCCUGCGGAGAGGUGUCUGUGCAGGGCGGGAAUCCAAGUGCCUCUUUGUAAAGUGCAGACGCCCUGGCUCUGCCCUCCUCACCUCCUGCCCCACCUGUGCCCGGGAACCAGCGGGGCCCGGUCCCUGAGCACCCGUGUCCUUGGAGAGGCCCUCACCACCAGGACCCAGGACAUGAGUGGGCACGUGCUGUUCACAAAAGUAGAGAUUAAGGACUUAAUUCUAUAA
rnacentral:lncRNA from 1 species